GAAGGAUGUCUGAACUACAGUCAGAUUCUCAGACAGCACAAUUUUCGUGAAAUACAUAUGGGAGUUGAAAAUCUAGAAACUGAUAUUCUUAAAACCACCCAUCCCAUGUACCUAUUGAAAAGUGAUCCUGCACUUUCAGAGCCAUGAUACAUCAAACUGAAGACUGCUUUCUAGAGGGAGUUCUUGACUCCACAUCAAAAUGGAGAACAGAGGUUCAGAAUGAUACUUACAAUGGCAAAAAGACACAAAGAGUUGAGAGCCAAGCUUGAAGAAAGGAAUGACCCUUAAUACAAAACAUAUUGGAGAAAGUCAUCUUCCACCGAAAGCAGUUAUUAAAGAUUUGGUCGUUUAAAGAAACCUUGUACCUUUGCCCUCUCGAAUAAAAAAAGUGUGUAUUUAUUUAAUUAUAAUCA
rnacentral:lncRNA from 13 species